CUACGGGAUGCUCCAGUGAGGAAUAUUGCACAAUGGGGGGAACCCUGAUGCAGCAACGCCGCGUGGAGGAUGACGCAUUUCGGUGUAUAAACUCCUUUUAUAUGUCAAGAAAAUGACGGUAGCAUAUGAAUAAGCACCGGCUAACUCCGUGCCAGCAGCCGCGGUAAUACGGAGGGUGCAAGCGUUACUCGGAAUCACUGGGCGUAAAGGACGCGUAGGCGGGUUGGAAAGUCAGGUGUGAAAUCCUACAGCUUAACUGUAGAACUGCACUUGAAACUUCUAAUCUAGAGCAUGGGAGGGGGAGAUGGAAUUAGUGGUGUAGGGGUAAAAUCCGUAGAUAUCACUAGGAAUACCUAAAGCGAAGGCGAUCUCCUGGAACAUUACUGACGCUAAGGCGUGAAAGCGUGGGGAGCAAACAGGAUUAGAUACCCCAGUAGUC
rnacentral:rRNA from 1 species